rnacentral:rRNA from 1 species
GACAGAGGGUGCAAACGUUGUUCGGAAUUACUGGGCGUAAAGCGCGUGUAGGCGGCAAGCCAAGUCGGGUGUGAAAUCUCGGAGCUUAACUUCGAAACUGCAUUCGAUACUGCCGUGCUUGAGGACUGGAGAGGAGACUGGAAUUUACGGUGUAGCGGUGAAAUGCGUAGAUAUCGUAAGGAAGACCAGUGGCGAAGGCGGGUCUCUGGACAGUUCCUGACGCUGAGGCACGAAGGCCAGGGGAGCAAACGGG